GGUGAUAUGUUGAAUAAAAUAUUUUAUAGGGAUAAAUAUCGUUAUUUGGGUUAAUUAAUAAAAUAUUUGUUAUACAUAUAUAAAUCAAACUGGUAUUGAGAUAUAAUGGUUGAAGUUGAAAUAUUAAAAUUCAUCUCUACUUGGUGCUCAAUUUCGAAUGCUUGCAAUAUUUAUAAUUUAUAAUACUUUUUCCGUCCCAAAAUACAUGUCGCUUUGACUUUUUGCACGUAAUUUCAUGUGCAAAUAAAACAUACUUUUAUACAUUAUUUUUCAAAUUUUCUUUUUCUGAAUAAAAGUAUAACGUCCAUAUUUUUAUUUAUAAAAAAGAAAAUUUGAAAAAUAAUAUAUAGACAUGUGUUUUAUUUACACCUCAAAUUACGUGAAAAAAGUCAAAGUGACAUGUAUUGUGGAACGGAGGGAGUAAUAAAU
rnacentral:lncRNA from 1 species